rnacentral:rRNA from 1 species
AUUGAACGCUGGCGGCAUGCUUUACACAUGCAAGUCGAGCGGCAGCGCGGGGGGCAACCCUGGCGGCGAGCGGCGAACGGGUGAGUAACAUAUCGGAACGUACCCCGUCGUGGGGGAUAACACAGCGAAAGCUGUGCUAAUACCGCAUACGACCUGAGGGUGAAAGCGGGGGAUCGCAAGACCUCGCGCGGACGGAGCGGCCGAUGGCAGAUUAGGUAGUUGGUGGGAUAAAAGCUUACCAAGCCGACGAUCUGUAGCUGGUCAGAGAGGACGACCAGCCACACUGGGACUGAGACACGGCCCAGACUCCUACGGGAGGCAGCAGUGGGGAAUUUUGGACAAUGGGCGCAAGCCUGAUCCAGCCAUGCCGUGUGCAGGAUGAAGGCCUUCGGGUUGUAAACUGCUUUGUUACGGAACGAAAAAGACUCUCUCUAAUACAGGGGUGAAGUGACGGUACCGUAAGAAUAAGACACCGGCUAACUACGUGCCAGCAGCCGCGGUAAU